rnacentral:snRNA from 1 species
AGCUUUGCACAGUGGCAGCAUCAUAACCAAUGAGGUUUAUCCAAGGAGUGAUUAUUGCUACUUGAAAACUGUUCUCAGCUGGGUCUCCCAGGAUGGCAUACCCUUGGCAUUGAAGAGGCUCAUAUCAGCC